ACCCCAUGCAGGAGGCAGUGCCAGGCAGGACCCAGCAUGGACAUGAGGGCCCCCACUCAGCUGCUGGGGCUCCUGCUGCUCUGGCUCCCAGGUGCCAGAUGUGAUGUUGUGAUGACCCAGACUCCAGCCUCCGUGGAGGCAGCUGUGGGAGGCACAGUCACCAUCAAGUGCCAGGCCAGUCAGAGCAUUAGUAGUUACUUAUCCUGGUAUCAGCAGAAACCAGGGCAGCCUCCCAAGCUCCUGAUCUACAGGGCAUCCACUCUGGAAUCUGGGGUCCCAUCGCGGUUCAAAGGCAGUGGAUCUGGGACAGAGUUCACUCUCACCAUCAGCGACCUGGAGUGUGCCGAUGCUGCCACUUACUACUGUCAAAGCUAUUAUUAUAGUAGUAGUAGUAGUUAUGGUUCCACAGUGAUACAAGCCCUAACAAAAACCUCCCAGGAAAGCAGAAGUGUGAGGCUGGGCUGCCCCAGCUGCUCGUCCUGGCCCCAUCUGCUGAGAGUGAUUCUCAGAGCAGCCAGGCUUGAAGGUCCUGCAGGGUCGGGUGGAAGGGGCCAGGUGACUCUCUGAGGCUCCCUCCUUUCC